CCACCAGAAGUAGUUAUUUUCAAAAUUUCUAUCCUGUUCCAAGGACAAUCAGCGUGAAAGUUGAUGUAGUGAGUUUGGCUCUCCUCCCCCCUGCUCAUCUACAGGGAUGCUAAUUAGACCAUUCAGAGUCGUCAGUUUGGCCACAUUUGGAUGCUAAUAACCCAGUUUGGCCCUCUCUCGGUAGCUCUAGGAAGAUACCCAAUCUGGCCCCUCUUGGUAGAGAUAGGAAUUUCUCAAAAUCCUGGUAGUCCUAGUGCUAGAGUAGGAGUUGAGUUU